CUGCCACUGAGGAGUCCCAUAAUAGGACGAAACGGCAGUCAAACAG
rfam:Schistosoma mansoni, Puerto Rico, WGS project CABG01000000 data, contig: 0225